rnacentral:rRNA from 1 species
UUGGAGGGCAAGUCUGGUGCCAGCAGCCGCGGUAAUUCCAGCUCCAAUAGCGUAUAUUAAAGUUGCUGCAGUUAAAAAGCUCGUAGUUGAAUUUCGGGACCAUCAUGUCGGUCGUGCCUCGGUACGUACUGGUAUUGUUGGUUUCUCCCUUCUGACGAACCAUGAUGUCAUUUAUUUGGUGUUGUGGGGAAUCAGGACUGUUACUUUGAAAAAAUUAGAGUGUUUAAAGCAGGCUCACGCUUGAAUACAUUAGCAUGGAAUAAUGAAAUAGGACGUUUAAUUCUAUUUUGUUGGUUUCUAGGAUCGACGUAAUGAUUAAUAGGGAUAGUUGGGGGCAUUAGUAUUCAAUUGUCAGAGGUGAAAUUCUUGGAUUUAUUGAAGACUAACCACUGCGAAAGCAUUUGCCAAGGAUGUUUUCAUUAAUCAAGAACGAAAGUUAGGGGAUCGAAGACGAUCAGAUACCGUCGUAGUCUUAACCAUAAACUAUGCCGACUAGGGAUCGGAUGAUGUUAAUUUUUUAAUGACUCAUUCGGCGCCUUACGGGAAACCAAAGUGUUUGGGUUC